rnacentral:rRNA from 1 species
CUAAUACAUGCAAGUCGAACGAACGGAGGAAGAGCUUGCUCUUCCAAAGUUAGUGGCGGACGGGUGAGUAACACGUGGGCAACCUGCCUGUAAGUUGGGGAUAACUCCGGGAAACCGGGGCUAAUACCGAAUGAUAAAGUGUGGCGCAUGCCACGCUUUUGAAAGAUGGUUUCGGCUAUCGCUUACAGAUGGGCCCGCGGUGCAUUAGCUAGUUGGUAGGGUAAUGGCCUACCAAGGCAACGAUGCAUAGCCGACCUGAGAGGGUGAUCGGCCACACUGGGACUGAGACACGGCCCAGACUCCUACGGGAGGCAGCAGUAGGGAAUCUUCCGCAAUGGACGAAAGUCUGACGGAGCAACGCCGCGUGUAUGAAGAAGGUUUUCGGAUCGUAAAGUACUGUUGUUAGAGAAGAACAAGGAUAAGAGUAACUGCUUGUCCCUUGACGGUAUCUAACCAGAAAGCCACGGCUAACUACGUGCCAGCAGCCGCGGUAAUACGUAGGUGGCAAGCGUUGUCCGGAUUUAUUGGGCGUAAAGCGCGCGCAGGCGGUCUUUUAAGUCUGAUGUGAAAGCCCCCGGCUUAACCGGGGAGGGUCAUUGGAAACUGGAAGACUGGAGUGCAGAAGAGGAGAGUGGAAUUCCACGUGUAGCGGUGAAAUGCGUAGAUAUGUGGAGGAACACCAGUGGCGAAGGCGACUCUCUGGUCUGUAACUGACGCUGAGGCGCGAAAGCGUGGGGAGCAAACAGGAUU